AGCGAACGCUGGCGGCAGGCCUAACACAUGCAAGUCGAACGGAUCCUUCGGGAUUAGUGGCGGACGGGUGAGUAACACGUGGGAACGUGCCCUUUGGUUCGGAACAACUCAGGGAAACUUGAGCUAAUACCGGAUGUGCCCUUCGGGGGAAAGAUUUAUCGCCAUUGGAGCGGCCCGCGUCUGAUUAGCUAGUUGGUGGGGUAAAGGCCCACCAAGGCGACGAUCAGUUGCUGGUCUGAGAGGAUGAUCAGCCACAUUGGGACUGAGACACGGCCCAAACUCCUACGGGAGGCAGCAGUGGGGGAUCUUGCGCAAUGGGCGAAAGCCUGACGCAGCCAUGCCGCGGGAAUGAUGAAGGUCUUAGGAUUGGAAAAUUCUUUCACCGGGGACGAUAAUGACGGUACCCGGAGAAGAAGCCCCGGCUAACUUCGUGCCAGCCGCCGCCGUAAAAC
rnacentral:rRNA from 1 species